rnacentral:rRNA from 1 species
GAUGAACGCUGGCGGCGUGCCUAAUACAUGCAAGUCGAGCGAACGGACGAGAAGCUUGCUUCUCUGAUGUUAGCGGCGGACGGGUGAGUAACACGUGGAUAACCUACCUAUAAGACUGGGAUAACUUCGGGAAACCGGAGCUAAUACCGGAUAAUAUUUUGAACCUCAUGGUUCAAAAUUGAAAGACGGUCUUGCUGUCACUUAUAGAUGGAUCCGCGCUGCAUUAGCUAGUUGGUAAGGUAACGGCUUACCAAGGCAACGAUGCAUAGCCGACCUGAGAGGGUGAUCGGCCACACUGGAACUGAGACACGGUCCAGACUCCUACGGGAGGCAGCAGUAGGGAAUCUUCCGCAAUGGGCGAAAGCCUGACGGAGCAACGCCGCGUGAGUGAUGAAGGUCUUCGGAUCGUAAAACUCUGUUAUUAGGGAAGAACAUAUGUGUAAGUAACUGUGCACAUCUUGACGGUACCUAAUCAGAAAGCCACGGCUAACUACGUG